AUUGAUUUGCCCCCAAACAGAGCCUAGUGGCGCAAGCCUGGUAUCACUUUUGAGUGAACCGCUCGAUCAACACUAAACAAAAUCAGGGCAAGU
rnacentral:ncRNA from 1 species